rnacentral:rRNA from 1 species
UACGAAGGGGGCUAGCGUUGCUCGGAAUCACUGGGCGUAAAGGGUGCGUAGGCGGGUCUUUAAGUCAGGGGUGAAAUCCUGGAGCUCAACUCCAGAACUGCCUUUGAUACUGAGGAUCUUGAGUUCGGGAGAGGUGAGUGGAACUGCGAGUGUAGAGGUGAAAUUCGUAGAUAUUGGCAAGAACACCAGUGGCGAAGGCGGCUCACUGGCCCGAUACUGACGCUGAGGCACGAAAGCGUGGGGAGCAAACAGG